GACGAACUUUGGCGGCGUGCUUAACACAUGCAAGUCGAACGGAAAGGCCCUGCUUUUGUGGGGUGCUCGAGUGGCGAGCGGGUGAGUAACACGUGAGUAACCUGCCCUUGACUUUGGGAUAACUUCAGGAAACUGGGGCUAAUACCGGAUAGGAGCUCCUGCUGCAUGGUGGGGGUUGGAAAGUUUCGGCGGUUGGGGAUGGACUCGCGGCUUAUCAGCUUGUUGGUGGGGUAGUGGCUUACCAAGGCCUUGACGGGUAGCCGGCCUGAGAGGGUGACCGGCCACAUUGGGACUGAGAUACGGCCCAGACUCCUACGGGAGGCAGCAGUGGGGAAUAUUGCACAAUGGGCGGAAGCCUGAUGCAGCAACGCCGCGUGCGGGAUGACGGCCUUCGGGUUGUAAACCGCUUUCGCCUGUGACGAAGCGUGAGUGACGGUAAUGGGUAAAGAAGCACCGGCUAACUACGUGCCAGCAGCCGCGGUGAUACGUAGGGUGCGAGCGUUGUCCGGAUUUAUUGGGCGUAAAGGGCUCGUAGGUGGUUGAUCGCGUCGGAAGUGUAAUCUUGGGGCUUAACCCUGAGCGUGCUUUCGAUACGGGUUGACUUGAGGAAGGUAGGGGAGAAUGGAAUUCCUGGUGGAGCGGUGGAAUGCGCAGAUAUCAGGAGGAACACCAGUGGCGAAGGCGGUUCUCUGGGCCUUUCCUGACGCUGAGGAGCGAAAGCGUGGGGAGCGAACAGGCUUAGAUACCCUGGUAGUCCACGCUGUAAACGGUGGGUACUAGGUGUGGGGUCCAUUCCACGGGUUCCGUGCCGUAGCUAACGCUUUAAGUACCCCGCCUGGGGAGUACGGCCGCAAGGCUAAAACUCAAAGGAAUUGACGGGGCCCCGCACAAGCGGCGGAGCAUGCGGAUUAAUUCGAUGCAACGCGUAGAACCUUACCUGGGUUUGACAUGGAUCGGGAGUGCUCAGAGAUGGGUGUGCCUCUUUUGGGGUCGGUUCACAGGUGGUGCAUGCCUGUCGUCAGCUCGUGUCGUGAGAUGUUGGGUUAAGUCCCGCAACGAGCGCAACCCUUGUUCACUGUUGCCAGCACGUUAUGGUGGGGACUCAGUGGAGACCGCCGGGGUCAACUCGGAGGAAGGUGGGGAUGACGUCAAGUCCUCAUGCCCCUUAUGUCCAGGGCUUCACGCAUGCUACAAUGGCUGGUACAGAGAGUGGCGAGCCUGUGAGGGUGAGCGAAUCUCGGAAAGCCGGUCUCAGUUCGGAUUGGGGUCUGCAGCUCGACCUCAUGAAGUCGGAGUCGCUAGUAAUCGCAAAGCAGCAACGCUGCGGUGAAUACGUUCCCGGGGCC
rnacentral:rRNA from 1 species